GACGAACGCUGGCGGCGUGCUUAACACAUGCAAGUCGAACGGAAAGGCCCUGCUUUUGUGGGGUGCUCGAGUGGCGAACGGGUGAGUAACACGUGAGUAACCUGCCCUUGACUUUGGGAUAACUUCAGGAAACUGGGGCUAAUACCGGAUAGGAGCUCCUGCUGCAUGGUGGGGGUUGGAAAGUUUCGGCGGUUGGGGAUGGACUCGCGGCUUAUCAGCUUGUUGGUGGGGUAGUGGCUUACCAAGGCUUUGACGGGUAGCCGGCCUGAGAGGGUGACCGGCCACAUUGGGACUGAGAUACGGCCCAGACUCCUACGGGAGGCAGCAGUGGGGAAUAUGGCACAAUGGGCGGAAGCCUGAUGCAGCAACGCCGCGUGCGGGAUGACGGCCUUCGGGUGGUAAACCGCUUUCGCCUGUGACGAAGCGUGAGUGACGGUAAUGGGUAAAGAAACACCGGCUAACUACGU
rnacentral:rRNA from 1 species